UAUGGCCGCCAGUUAGCUCUCUGCAACUCUUACAUGGUCGCCCACUGAAGCUAAGCAGGUCUGCGCCCGGUCAGUACCUAGAUCAGAGACCACAUGUGAAAGCUAGGUUGCUGCCGGAA
ensembl:rRNA 5S_rRNA 5S ribosomal RNA